CCUACGGGAGCAGCAGUGGGGAAUAUUGCACAAUGGGGGAAACCCUGAUGCAGCCAUGCCGCGUGUGUGAAGAAGGCCUUCGGGUUGUAAAGCACUUUCAGUUGUGAGGAAAGGUUGGUAGUUAAUACCUGCCAGCUGUGACGUUAACAACAGAAGAAGCACCGGCUAACUCCGUGCCAGCAGCCGCGGUAAUACGGAGGGUGCGAGCGUUAAUCGGAAUUACUGGGCGUAAAGCGCACGCAGGCGGUUUGUUAAGCUAGAUGUGAAAGCCCCGGGCUCAACCUGGGAUGKUCAUUUARAACUGGCAGAYUAGAGUCUUGGAGAGGGGAGUGGAAUUCCAKGUGUAGCGGUGAAAUGCGUARAUAUYUGGAGGAACAUCAGUGGCGAAGGCGGCUCCCUGGCCAAAGACUGACGCUCAUGUGCGAAAGUGUGGGUAGCGAACAGGAUUAGAUACCCUGGUAGUCCACACCGUAAACGCUGUCUACUAGCUGUUUGUGAAUUUAAUUCGUGAGUAGCGAAGCUAACGCGAUAAGUAGACCGCCUGGGGAGUACGGCCGCAAGGUAAAACUCAAAUGAAUUGACGG
rnacentral:rRNA from 1 species